rnacentral:misc_RNA from 1 species
AAGUCGUAACAAGGUUUCCGUAGGUGAACCUGCGGAAGGAUCAUUAAUGAGUCUUUGAAGUGGGUUUGAUGCUGGUCUUUCGAGGCAUGUGCUCGCCCUAUUCUCAUCCACUCACACCUGUGCACCUUACGUUUAAGAAGUGGUUGUUGCCUCCCUUCGGGUUGGCAGGUUAGGGAAACCUAGCUAUGGCCCUUCUUUGCGUUACUUUACACAAACUCUUGAAUGUCAUAGAAUGUCUAUUGGCCUACGGGCUUUAAUUUAAAUACAACUUUCAACAACGGAUCUCUUGGCUCUC